UACGGAAGGGGCUGGCGUUGCUCGGAAUCACUGGGCGUAAAGCGCACGUAGGCGGAUCUUUAAGUCAGGGGUGAAAUCCCAAGGCUCAACCUUGGAACUGCCUUUGAUACUGGGUAUCUUGAGUAUGGAAGAGGUAAGUGGAAUUGCGAGUGUAGAGGUGAAAUUCGUAGAUAUUCGCAGGAACACCAGUGGCGAAGGCGGCUGACUGGACAUGUAUUGACGCUGAGGUGCGAAAGCGUGGGGAGCAAACAGGG
rnacentral:rRNA from 1 species